UACGUAGGGUGCGAGCGUUGUCCGGAAUUACUGGGCGUAAAGAGCUCGUAGGUGGUUUGUCGCGUUGUCCGUGAAAACUCACAGCUUAACUGUGGGCGUGCGGGCGAUACGGGCAGACUGGAGUACUGCAGGGGAGACUGGAAUUCCUGGUGUAGCGGUGAAAUGCGCAGAUAUCAGGAGGAACACCGGUGGCGAAGGCGGGUCUCUGGGCAACAACUGACGCUGAGGAGCGAAAGCGUGGGGAGCGAACAGG
rnacentral:rRNA from 1 species